AUUCCCUUCGGGGAAUAUCCAGUUGAAGGGAUACAGAGAUGCGCAUGGCCCCUUCCCAAGGAUGACACGCUGAGAUCGAGAAGUGUGCCAAAUCGAA
rnacentral:snRNA from 1 species